CAGGGUUUUAUUCAGGGACUUUUUAGGACCGUAAAACGGCCCCAAAAACUCAAUCUUGAAUUGAGUUUUGAAACUCAAUCUUCUCACCAAAAGAUUUAGUGCAGUAAAAAUGAAGUUGUUUGAGUUAAAUUCGUGACGUGUGCAAAUUAGUUUUCAGUUGGAAACCCCACAAUCCAGAAAAAUGGCUGAAAUUCAUUUCACAACACAAGAAAAACAACGCAUUCGCCAUCUUUAAUCAGUUUAUGUGUCUGCUUUAACACAUU